GUAGGUGGCAAGCGUUGUCCGGAAUUAUUGGGCGUAAAGCGCGCGCAGGCGGUUCUUUAAGUCUGAUGUGAAAGCCCACGGCUCAACCGUGGAGGGUCAUUGGAAACUGGAGAACUUGAGUACAGAAGAGGAAAGCGGAAUUCCACGUGUAGCGGUGAAAUGCGUAGGGAUGUGGAGGAACACCAGUGGCGAAGGCGGCUUUCUGUUCUGUAACUGACGCUGAGGCGCGAAAGCGUGGGGAGCAAACAGGGAUUAGAUACCCUGGUAGUCCACGCCGUAAACGAUGAGUGCUAAGUGUUAGGGGGUUUCCCGCCCCUUAGUGCUGCAGCUAACGCAUUAAGCACUCCGCCUGGGGAGUACGGCCGCAAGGCUG
rnacentral:rRNA from 1 species